GCCUUCGUGGUGUAGUGGUCAGCACGCUCGACGCGUAUUCGAGAGAUCCGUGGUUCGAGUCCCGGCGAGGACG
rfam:Stegodyphus mimosarum contig87593, whole genome shotgun sequence.